UGCAAGAAAGCGAUGGGGGAUAAAUAGGAGCCGAAAAAAGAAAAAAUACAGAGGAAAAGGAGAGAAAAUUGAGGGAGAAAGGGAAGAAAAAGUGCAGAAAAAUUUUUAGGAAGAACACGAGCCAGGGUUGACUAUUGGGGGUGUUUCGUGGUCAUAUUUCGGUCUAGCCUCUCUGGAGCAGAUGUUGCUUUCUGGGUAAUCUAGAAUGAUCAAGGAAUAAUAUUGGUGUGAAAAGUUUUGGAAAAAACCGCUGCAACAUCUUCAAAUUUGGGCUUGAACUUGCUGCCUUAGUCAUCUUUAAAAUUUCUGCAGCAAAGAUCUUAACUUUCAGAUUUCAGUUUUGAAUCUCACUCUCCUCGGAUUUCCCGUGUUUGUUUGGUAUCUUCUCAUCAAAGCAUAAGUAGGGCAAAUUUCACCCCAUUCAACCACAAUUUCAAGGGAGGUAACUUCUUUUAUUAUUUGAAAUUCUUUUAUGUGCUCCAAUGUGUUUUAUGUGUAAUUGCAUGUUUUGAGUGUUUUUUUCUUUUAAUUAUUCAUUUUUAUUCAUUUUAAGUUUCAUUUAUUUUAUUUCAUUUUUGAUAAUUAUUUGAGAGGCAUUAAAAUGCCAAAUUGUAAUAGAUAGAUGAUCAGGACAUGUAUCUAGCUAGUCUAUGUAAUAGAUAGGUUUUAAUUUUUGCUAAAAAUGUAUUUAGUUAAAUAAAUGUAAUAGUUAGGUUAUUAUUUUUAGAAUUCUCCCUUUAGAUUGUAAUUAGGGCCUCGAAUGCAAUAGUUAGACUCUUAUUUGCGUUUA